rnacentral:rRNA from 1 species
ACGCUGGCGGCGCGCCUAACACAUGCAAGUCGAACGAGAGAUGAGGAGCUUGCUCUUCAAAUCGAGUGGCGAACGGGUGAGUAACGCGUGAGGAACCUGCCUCAAAGAGGGGGGACAACAGUUGGAAACGACUGCUAAUACCGCAUAAGCCCACAGCUCGGCAUCGAGCAAGGGGAAAGGAGUGAUCCGCUUUGAGAUGGCCUCGCGUCCGAUUAGCUAGUUGGUGAGGUAACGGCCCACCAAGGCGACGAUCGGUAGCCGGACUGAGAGGUUGAACGGCCACAUUGGGACUGAGACACGGCCCAGACUCCUACGGGAGGCAGCAGUGGGAAAUAUUGCACAAUGGAGGAAACUCUGAUGCAGCGACGCCGCGUGAGUGAAGAAGUAGUUCGCUAUGUAAAGCUCUAUCAGCAGGGAAGAUAGUGACGGUACCUGACUAAGAAGCUCCGGCUAAAUACGUG